rnacentral:rRNA from 1 species
UGGGGAAUAUUGGACAAUGGGCGAAAGCCUGAUCCAGCCAUGCCGCGUGUGUGAAGAAGGUCUUCGGAUUGUAAAGCACUUUAAGUUGGGAGGAAGGGCAGUAAAUUAAUACUUUGCUGUUUUGACGUUACCGACAGAAUAAGCACCGGCUAACUCUGUGCCAGCAGCCGCGGUAAUACAGAGGGUGCAAGCGUUAAUCGGAAUUACUGGGCGUAAAGCGCGCGUAGGUGGUUCGUUAAGUUGGAUGUGAAAUCCCCGGGCUCAACCUGGGAACUGCAUUCAAACUGACG